rnacentral:rRNA from 1 species
CAGUAGGGAAUCUUCGGCAAUGGACGAAAGUCUGACCGAGCAACGCCGCGUGAGUGAAGAAGGUUUUCGGAUCGUAAAACUCUGUUGGUAGAGAAGAACGUUGGUGAGAGUGGAAAGCUCAUCAAGUGACGGUAACUACCCAGAAAGGGACGGCUAACUACGUGCCA